rnacentral:tRNA from 1 species
UCCCUGGUGGCUCAGAGGUUAAAGCGUCUGCCUCCAAUGCAGGAGGCCUGGGUUCAAUCCCUAGGUUGGGAA